UGUCUCCUCCACCUCCUCAUUUGGUGGAUUAAGCCCGAAGCCUCACGGCUCCGGGCUUUUUUUU
rnacentral:ncRNA from 1 species